GCCUUGUUGUGAGCAAGAAAAAAGUCCAAAAAUUGGCAGUCCAGGGUGUGAUGGCAGCUCUGAACGUCAUCAGAAAUCGGGCUCCUCUCUUCCUGUUUCUUUCAGAUCAUGUCUACUUUGUUCGCCAUCCUAGCCCCAGGGCCUAGAAGAGUCAGUUCCUAGUAUAUGGAGGCACUUAAUAAAUAUUUGUUGUUGGAUGAAUAAAUCAGUGAAUGAGUGAAGUGGAUGUGAUAUUUUUAAGCCUUUGAAAGGCAAUAGCAGUACCUUGAUAAGCAGAGACAGAGGAAAAAGGUUUUUGUAGACAGAGGGAAUUAUGUGCACAAAAACAAAGAGGCAGGAAUGGCUUGGUCUGUUUUGCUGGGCAAUUAGCCAUUUGGGGCUAGAAUUAAGGGGCAUGAUGUUAGAGGGAUGGAUUGGAGACAGAUGAAGGAAGGUCUCUAAUGCUUGGCCUUAUUUGGGGCAGCAUUAAAAAUAAACAAAUAGAAAGCAAGCUCACCUUCACAGAAUAGCGCCAUAUCUCUUUGGGACAACCACCCCCGACCCCGACCCAAUCCAAAGUCAUUGCAGUAAGUCACUCAGAGAAAACAAAAGACAAGAGAAGUCCACAAACUUGGGAUUACUCGCUGGUUGGCAUACAAAUCACCUCUUUCCUGUUAACCAACUUUACAUUUUAGAAUUUUUUCUUUUUGAUUAUAAAAGUAAUACAUAUUUAUUAUAGAAGAUUUGGAAAGCACAGAAAAAUAUAAAACAGAAAUGAAGUAUCACUACUCUGAACAUUAACGUAGGCUUUCACUGACAAAGAAGUUGCUGGGAAACUUCGUCAUGGCCCUGCAGAGUAUACUGGGGGGCGGGGGGCCAGUGGUUGUGGAGAACAUGGGGGCAACACCAGUGACUAAGCAGCUGGGACAACCACAGGAGGAAUUACUAACUUUGGAUUCAGUGAGUCUUUGGUGUCUGGCAUUGAAAAAUCGUGUUACUCCUUUACCCUCGGUUUCCUCAUCAGUCAAAGAAGGAGUUUUCUGAUCAGUGGUUUUCAAAGUGUGUCCCUUGGAGCUUUGUGGAGCCCUUUAUAAAAGGUGAGGGCAAAGGCUUGACCUCCUCACCUCUCCUCCCGGCAGCAGAGAUCCACAAGUACCUGUUUUUCAUAUUGGCUUUUGGCCUAAGUUUUAUAUAUUGGAUUUUUGUUGUUCUUGUUUAUUUUGUUUUACUUUUAACAACAGAUAGGGGGACUAACACAGGAUUGCAAUUCACCU